AGAUUGAACGCUGGCGGCAUGCUUUACACAUGCAAGUCGAACGGCAGCACGGGGGAAACCCUGGUGGCGAGUGGCGAACGGGUGAGUAAUACAUCGGAACGUACCCUAGAGUGGGGGAUAACCCAGCGAAAGUUGGGCUAAUACCGCAUACGCUCGAAAGAGGAAAGCGGAGGACCGCAAGGCUUCGCGCUUCUGGAGCGGCCGAUGUCCGAUUAGCUUGUUGGCGGGGUAAUGGCCCACCAAGGCGUCGAUCGGUAGCUGGUCUGAGAGGACGAUCAGCCACACUGGGACUGAGACACGGCCCAGACUCCUACGGGAGGCAGCAGUGGGGAAUUUGGACAAUGGGGGAAACCUGAUCCAGCCA
rnacentral:rRNA from 1 species